AUUGAACGCUGGCGGCAGGCCUAACACAUGCAAGUCGAACGGCAGCACGGGAGCAAUCCUGGUGGCGAGUGGCGAACGGGUGAGUAAUAUAUCGGAACGUGCCCAGUCGUGGGGGAUAACGUAGCGAAAGCUACGCUAAUACCGCAUACGAUCUAUGGAUGAAAGCGGGGGAUCGCAAGACCUCGCGCGAUUGGAGCGGCCGAUAUCAGAUUAGGUAGUUGGUGAGGUAAAGGCUCACCAAGCCGACGAUCUGUAGCUGGUCUGAGAGGACGACCAGCCACACUGGGACUGAGACACGGCCCAGACUCCUACGGGAGGCAGCAGUGGGGAAUUUUGGACAAUGGGCGCAAGCCUGAUCCAGCAAUGCCGCGUGCAGGAUGAAGGCC
rnacentral:rRNA from 1 species